CCUGCCCAAGAGAUCGGGAUAACACCUGGAAACAGAUGCUAAUACCGGAUAACAACAGAUGAUGCCUAUCAACUGUUUAAAAGAUGGUUCUGCUAUCACUCUUGGAUGGACCUGCGGUGCAUUAGCUAGUUGGUAGGGUAACGGCCUGCCAAGGCGAUGAUGCAUAGCCGAGUUGAGAGACUGAUCGGCCACAUUGGGACUGAGACACGGCCCAAACUCCUACGGGAGGCAGCAGUA
rnacentral:rRNA from 1 species